GGUUUUUAAUCACAGCCCAUUACUCUAAUCUCCAAAUUCCAUUUUUUCCCUACCUGUGCUAAACAUACCUUUUCAUCUCCUACCAGGUCUAUACCUUUACCCUUAAAUUGAGCUAACAAAAUCGUCUAUACACAUAUCACUCGAGUUUUUAUCAAGCUUAUUGUCUCUCAUCCAAUGCAUUUCUUGUUUCUUCAUCUUGCCCAUUAGCUGGUUGAGAUUCUACCUUCUCUUAACUAGUUCCCUCCUCGAUAUGUUGUUCACUGAUAUUCCCAAAUUCCCUAUUUUAUGGAUCUCCCCAGUUCUUCUAGAUCCCUCUUCUCCCUAUCCACACCUACUGUCCUUAUCCUUCAGUGCCCCACCUUUUUACCGUUUGAGGGUUAAAGAGGUAAAUAGAAAAAAAUUAUUUGAGGGGUAAAAGGUAAAUAGAAAAAAAUUUGUCAUUCUUUCUCACUUUCUCUGACUGAGCUGCCUCCGAGUCCCAGUCAGGAUUCUCUCUAUGAUCUUUACACAUAUUUAAUCUUUAAUACUACUGCUACUAUUAUAACUCUCUCACUCCCUUAGCUCUCCAUCUAAAUGUCAAAAUCCUAGCCAUCUAUUAUCUGAGACUCUGGAAUUCUGUAUUUCCCGAACCCUCGCCUAAAGCUAGUCUCCCUUCUACCCUAUUCCAAAUGCACCCAUAGAGUAAAUUUCCUCACUGGAUACUGACCUCCUCCAUGGCUCCUGUCACCCUCUGUAAUCAGUGUAAGCUCAUCACACCUUACCAUUCUAUCAUCUGCUGACCCAGCUUGGACUAAGCCCUCUAGGUGAACAUCACUGGAUUCUGCUGGGCUUGUCGGCAUACUGGAGAUGCUGCAUUCUCUUCGAAUGACUCAGAACAUUUUAAUAUCAGUCAUGGUGGGAUCUGAAACAACAUGGCCCUGGAUAGUGGUCGCAGGGGGUUGCCGGAUGAGGCCCGGGCGUACACGUGGAGGAGGACAAAGCCCUGAGUGCUGGGCACAGAGGCUCCCACCUCUCAGCUGUUUUUCUCUGCAGACUCCGCUCUGACCUCCCCGCGAGAGGCUACCUGCCACCCAGCACGAGUGAAGAACUACAGCGGAGUUUUCUUAGCAACCGAAGCCUCGCCCCUGGGACGGGGGAGGAGGGUCCCCUGCCAGACUCCCUCUUCUUUGAAGAAACACAACCGAGACCAAGUGAGAAGUAGCUACAGUUUAAUACAAACCUGCACCAGAACACAAUGUGUCGGGCUGUUU